CCCCGGCCCCUGCGCGCUGGCCCGCCCCCUCGUCCGCCGCCUUUGCAGCCUCGCCUCCGCGGCGGCCCGGCGGACGCGGGAAGGACCGUGUUCACGGCCCUCGGGCGUCGGCCCCGGCCUCGUCCCCUGCGGUCGGGGGUCCGCUCACCUGGCGCGGUGACCGGGACCACCCGACCCCCGCGGGCAGCGAGACGGAGUGGCCGAGCGCGCGCGUCCGAGCCGGGCCCUUCCCACACCUUUCUCUAGCUUAACCGAAUAGUUUAUUGUUUGUGCCGCCGAGUUCCGAGGCAGUGUGAUGUCAAGUUGCGUGUUGGUAACUUGACUCAAACUCUGUGGAUUCUUUGCUACCUGCAUAUAGAAUUAACAGCAAAUUGGACUUUUGUCAGCGAGAAGCUACAGAAACAUUUAUUUCUCUUUUCAUCCGAAGAAAAGUGGUUAAAGAUAAGUAUCAUUAAAGUCUAACUUGAGAAUUAGUGUUGGCUUUGAAAGUUGUAUUUCUUGAAUAGCAUGGAGCUUUUAAAAAGGAAACAAGGCUAGGGGAAAAAAAGUCUUAUUAAAGGUUUUCCAAAGUGAAUGUAUAUCUGAGUUAUACCUCAUUAAAGCUGUUAGUUUUUAAAAACUUUAAGUAAUUGAUCUUAAUUCUUAUUAAUGUUCGAUAUAUAAUUCUCAUCUAAACACCAAACCCAGAUUAAUAAUUUAAAAGUUGCAUUGUCAGGUGAUUCAGCUGGUUCGUAUGACUGAAUAGUAUAUAUAUAAGGUUGAUGUCAUCUGGUACAUGUGAUUCACCAGACCUCUGUCAUCUUUAGUUCUUAUUUCAAUUUGUUAUUAAAUUCCUACAGGGACUUCCCUGGUGGUCCACUGGUUAAGACUCCCUGCUUCCAUUGCAAGGGGUGCAGAUUUCAUCCGUGAUCUAGGAACUAAUAGCCCGCAUGCCUGGAGAGAGGCCGAAAAAUAAAUAAAAAUAAACUCCUAU